GGGCCAAUGGAGAAAGGGUGGCUGGGGAGAAGAGAAAGGAAGGAUGAAAUAUAAAGUGACUGAAGGAAAAGACAUAGAGAGUCAUGAGAAAAUUAAGGAUAAAAAAGAGGCGAUCCAGAUCCAAAUCCAAGUUGCCUUCAGGCUUCCUCGCGGAUUCUUUUCUUACUUUACAUUUCGUCAAGCUCCCUGAAAUGACUUUUCAUGAAAUGUCCUGUUGCUAAUCCACCAAGACAUCCAUAUGUUACGAGGGUACUCCAGAACUACAACUCCCAUUAUCCUCAUUCCCAAUUAUUGUAUAAUUAGCAAAAUAUACAUAUAGCAGUG